rnacentral:rRNA from 1 species
GACGAACGCUGGCGGCGUGCUUAACACAUGCAAGUCGAGCGGUAAGGCCCUUUCGGGGGUACACGAGCGGCGAACGGGUGAGUAACACGUGGGUGACCUGCCCUCAGCUCUGGGAUAAGCCUGGGAAACCGGGUCUAAUACUGGAUAUGACUCCAUGACGCAUGUUGUGGGGUGGAAAGCCUUGUGCGGCUGAGGAUGGGCCCGCGGCCUAUCAGCUUGUUGGUGGGGUGANGGCCUACCAAGGCGACGACGGGUAGCCGGCCUGAGAGGGCGACCGGCCACACUGGGACUGAGACACGGCCCAGACUCUACGGGAGGCAGCAGUGGGGAAUCUUGCGCAAUGGGCGAAAGCCUGACGCAGCGACGCCGCGUGAGGGAUGACGGCC